CUUUUAAAGGAAAAGAUUUAUUCAAUGUCUUAGGAGCCACCAUACU
rnacentral:tRNA from 1 species